rnacentral:rRNA from 1 species
GAUGAACGCUGGCGGCGUGCUUAACACAUGCAAGUCGAACGGGACUAUUUUUAAACGAGGCUUCGGCCGAGGGAGGAUUUAGUCUAGUGGCGGACGGGUGAGUAACGCGUGAGCAACCUGCCCUUCAGUGGGGGACAACAGCUGGAAACGGCUGCUAAUACCGCAUAUUGCACAUGGGUCGCAUGGCCUGUGUGUGAAAGAUUUAUCGCUGAGGGAUGGGCUCGCGUCUGAUUAGCUAGUUGGUGGGGUAACGGCCCACCAAGGCGACGAUCAGUAGCCGGACUGAGAGGUUGAACGGCCACAUUGGGACUGAGAUACGGCCCAGACUCCUACGGGAGGCAGCAGUGGGGAAUAUUGGGCAAUGGGCGCAAGCCUGACCCAGCAACGCCGCGUGAAGGAAGAAGGCUUUCGGGUUGUAAACUUCUUUGACCAGGGAAGAAACAAAUGACGGUACCUGGAAAACAAGCCACGGCUAACUACGUGCCAGCCGCCGCCGUA